rnacentral:tRNA from 1 species
CGGAUGUAGCCAAGUGGCUUACGGCAGUGGAUUGUGAAUCCACCAUGCGCG